rnacentral:ncRNA from 1 species
GACGGCGGUGCGUCGGCCGACCAACCAAAGAACCCGGGCAGAGAACCCGACUCACCUACCGCCGCCCCAACUCCUCACCCUAUCGGGUGACUUGGGCAGGAAAGCGUCCGGAAUGCGGUUACGCUCGCCCCGACAGCGCGUCAGCGCUGCUGACCACCACAACCGGACACAGAAACGGCCCCCGGCGGGACUGCCAUCCCGACCCGAGGGCCUGAUCACGAGGAAGAGGAGACCUUCCCG